rnacentral:rRNA from 1 species
GCUAAGUUUGAUGGCGACCGGCGCACGGGUGAGUAACACGUAUCCAACCUGCCGAUAACUCUGGAAUAGCCUUUCGAAAGAAAGAUUAAUACCGGAUAGUAUACGAAUAUCGCAUGAUAUUUUUAUUAAAGAAUUUCGGUUAUCGAUGGGGAUGCGUUCCAUUAGGCAGUUGGUGGGGUAACGGCCCACCAAACCUUCGAUGGAUAGGGGUUCUGAGAGGAAGGUCCCCCACAUUGGAACUGAGACACGGUCCAAACUCCUACGGGAGGCAGCAUG